rnacentral:rRNA from 1 species
UACGUACGGUGCAAGCGUUGUCCGGAAUUAUUGGGCGUAGAGAGCUCGUAGGCGGUUUGUCGCGUCUGCUGUGAAAACGCGAGGCUCAACCUCGCGCCUGCAGUGGGUACGGGCAGACUAGAGUGCGGUAGGGGAGAUUGGAAUUCCUGGUGUAGCGGUGGAAUGCGCAGAUAUCAGGAGGAACACCGAUGGCGAAGGCAGAUCUCUGGGCCGUUACUGACGCUGAGGAGCGAAAGCGUGGGGAGCGAAUGGG